rnacentral:rRNA from 1 species
UACGAAGGGGGCUAGCGUUGCUCGGAAUGACUGGGCGUAAAGGGCGCGUAGGCGGCGAUCACAGUCAGAUGUGAAAUUCCUGGGCUUAACCUGGGGGCUGCAUUUGAUACGUGGUUGCUUGAGUGGGGAAGAGGGUCGUGGAAUUCCCAGUGUAGAGGUGAAAUUCGUAGAUAUUCGGAAGAACACCAGUGGCGAAGGCGACUUACUGGACACAUAUUGACGCUGAGGUGCGAAAGCGUGGGGAGCAAACAGG